UACCUAAGAAUCCAGAGAAACGUCAAAAAUGGCUUGAAAGCAUGGGAUUAAAUGGUACAGAUAUACCACAAAACGCAAAAUUGUGCUCGUUACAUUUUGAGGAAAGUGCCUUGACAGAAGAGCUGAUUACUAUAUCAAAAUCCGGCCUGGUGCCAUUCCAUUUGAAAACGCAAGUGUGUGUAAUGUAGAACCUCCUCGGAAAAAACUGAAGAUACAUCACACACAAAUAAAGAAUUUAUACAAAGCUAUUAUUGAUCCCAAGACAACUAAAAAAAUAUUUGACAGUGCCAUUCCAUUUGGAAACGCAAGUGUGAGUAAUGUAGAACCUCCUCGGAAAAAACUGAAGGUACAUCAUACAAUAGAAGAAGCCAUUAUUGAUCCCAAGACAACUAAAGAAAUAUUUGACACAUACACAGAACAAGAAACUGUACACACGCGGUCAUUUUAAUACAAGAUAAAUCUUGUACAAUAGAUUGCCAUUCUAAUAUUUUUGCAACAGCAACGACAGAAAAUACUGUUAUUAGUACAUCUAGCACUUAUCAAGGGUUUGAUGUAGUUCCCCAAAUAAAUACACCACCCGAAGUAAAACAUCAGGGAACGGCUGUUUCGCCACAUUUAUCGGAAGAUACGCCGAGAAAACGAAUAUUGAGAGCCGCACUGACCAACACAAGAAAAUAUUUGAACAAGAAAUUAAAAUCUCUGCAACAAAAAUACCGAAGGUCCACGAAGCGCAUUGCAAAUUUAAAAAACGUCUUGGCAGCUUUGAAGAAGAAACGUCUUUUUGAUCCACACCAGCUGGACAUUUUAAAUGACCUAGGUACAUUUAAUAAGCAAUUGUUAAUGCGUCAAGAUAGUAAGAUUCAUAAAACACGAAUGCGUAAACAAUAUGAACCCGAGUUAAGAUCGUUCGCUUUAACUUUACAUUUUUACUCGUCGCAUGCGUACGCAUUUGUCAGAAAUAAAUUUAAUAAUUAUGCAUAUUAAGACCCCACCCGCCAAUGACCUUGACCUUGACAUAUGUCACCCU